rnacentral:rRNA from 1 species
UACAGAGGGUGCGAGCGUUAAUCGGAUUUACUGGGCGUAAAGCGUGUGUAGGCGGUUCGUUAAGUCGGAUGUGAAAGCCCUGGGCUCAACCUGGGAAUUGCACUCGAUACUGGCGAGCUAGAGUACGGUAGAGGGCGGCGGAAUUCCGGGUGUAGCGGUGAAAUGCGUAGAUAUCCGGAGGAACACCGAUGGCGAAGGCAACCGCCUGGGCCUGUACUGACGCUGAGACACGAAAGCGUGGGGAGCAAACAGG